rnacentral:rRNA from 1 species
CAUAUCAAUAAGCGGAGGAAAAGAAACCAACAGGGAUUGCCUCAGUAACGGCGAGUGAAGCGGCAAGAGCUCAAAUUUGAAAGCUGGCCCCUUCGGGGUCCGCGUUGUAAUUUGCAGAGGAUGCUUCGGGAGCGGUCCCCAUCUAAGUGCCCUGGAACGGGCCGUCAUAGAGGGUGAGAAUCCCGUCUGGGAUGGGGUGCCCGCGCCCGUGUGAAGCUCCUUCGACGAGUCGAGUUGUUUGGGAAUGCAGCUCUAAAUGGGUGGUAAAUUUCAUCUAAAGCUAAAUACUGGCCGGAGACCGAUAGCGCACAAGUAGAGUGAUCGAAAGAUGAAAAGCACUUUGAAAAGAGAGUUAAACAGCACGUGAAAUUGUUGAAAGGGAAGCGCUUGCGACCAGACUCGCUCGCAGGGUUCAGCCGGCCUUCGGGCCGGUGUACUUCCCCGCGGGCGGGCCAGCGUCGGUUUGGGCGGCCGGUCAAAGGCCCUCGGAAUAUAACGCCCCCCGGGGCGUCUUAUAGCCGAGGGUGCCAUGCGGCCAGCCCGGACCGAGGAACGCGCUUCGGCUCGGACGCUGGCAUAAUGGUCGUAAGCGAUUCCCCCUUUCCG